UUCAUAAAUAGCUAGGAAUAGCAGUGCUAAAACAUGCCAGGAAAAAAAUGAUGCUGAUGUUAUCAGGUGUUUAAUGUUCAGAUUGUCAGCUCCAGGGGCAAAACAGUUCUUGCAGCUGAGGAAGACUAGGUGAAUAGCAAAUCAAUAUAUUUUGGAAAUUAUCUUUGUAACCUUUAAGUGAAGUAAUAAAAGGUACUCGUGGGGAAGAAUGAUGAGUCUCAGAUCAAGUGCCUGGCAGCUGAUUGUGUAUGAAAAUUAAUAUACUUUGAAUACAGAUUAGUUCAAGUUUCGUAGCUGAAUUCGUCAAAUCCUAACUUCCAGUGGAUGUAGGUGUAUAAACAUGACACAAAUUUUAGUUUCAUCAAUUUGAAAAGUAUGAUUUGAUGUUGAAAAAAAAUUUUUUGAGGUAUCUCUUCACUUUAGCUAACCACUUUUCUUAAAGUAUGUAUGAGGUACUCUUUUUUUUAAGUGUCUUGAUAAAUACCCAGAACAUUAUGAAUCUGCAAAUUCCCUGCUAUGUAGUUACAGAAAACCCUCUUAUUUCAGAAUCCUAUACAGAAAUAUGGAUGAAGAUACUCAGAAGACACUACAUGUAACACUGCCAGCAGAAGAGUCCAGAAAUGGAUCUGUAAGCUACCUCCUUCAACUGACAAUGACUGUGCGACACUUGGACUCCCAGGAAAAGCCAUCUAGCACAGAUGGGGACAAAGAAAGGAAAAUAAAUGCUACAGUCAGGCUUAUAAAUCUCUUCUGAGACAGGCUUCUAACAUCUCCCUGCUCUCCUUGUGUUUAAGCAUUUGGUGUGACCUCCAAACACACAGACAACAAAAAUACAUUAAAGGUUAAAAUAAGUACAAGAAAAUUGAGAAAACUUCCAUGGAUAUUUAGCAUUGCAAUGAGUGACUGUCUCCUCCGUAUCAUACCACA
rnacentral:lncRNA from 1 species